rnacentral:lncRNA from 1 species
UCUCCCAACGCAAUUCAAGAUAAAUUCUAUCUUUGCUGUUAAAACCCCAACACAGUGUUCCGCAAUUCAACACGUUCCUUCCCAGCAAAUAUCCCUUCUGCUAAAAUGGCUGAUCAAAGUAGUAGAAGCAACUAAAUGAUUAAAACAAGUAAAAGAAUCAAUGACAUGAAAGACAGACGGCAAGGAAGAGAAGAUGCAUUCUAAUUCUAUCAAAAUUCCACCAUGAUUGCAGCCAACCUAUAUUGAAAGGACAGUUCAGAAGCCAACCGAUAAUUAAAAAGGAAGGGAUCACAUUCCAAACCUCGUUCAAAACCUUCCAUAAACAUUAUAUUCCAUGAUCCAAGUGGAAAAUCCUACGUGGAAAAUAAAAGAAAAAAUCAGUGCAUUCAUAUGCAUGAGACAGUUGAAACAGAAUAAAUCCAUCUGUUUUGAAGUCCAAACAUUCUGUAGCUACCAAUGCAUGAAACCCCAAUCCAACACUGACCGCAAAUUCCUCCAGCAACAAAUUCAACGCUCGGAAAAUUUCAAACCGAUCUCAGAAAAAACAAAGAGGAGUUAUACUUAUAGGGGAAGGUUCAUGGACAGAACAGAAGAACCCAACAUCAAGGAAACAAUCUUCCAGCACACAGCUCAAAAGGGGGUUACCUGUAAAAAUGAGGGAUUUUUGCAGACCUUGCUGAACAAAAUUCACAACGCAGCUGGGAAACUACUUUUUUUGUGUGUAGAAAUGGGAGAGGACCUCGCAGAUCAGGAAUGAGCAACAACGGAAAAGUCCUCCCUCCCAGUAGAAAAGAAUAGCUGGCUACUACUUCUUCUUCUUCUUCUUCUUCUUCUUCUUCUUCUUCUUCUUCUUGUGAUUGGGGUUGGCACAGAGAAAGAGGGAGAAAAUUCAAAGCAUUGUUUUCGCAGAAGAGAGAGAGAAAAUUAAAUAAGGAAAAGAGAAAGAAAGAAACAGAGCAAGG